ensembl:lncRNA
AUGCUUCUGAUAAUAAUCUUCAUAGUGAUUAUUGUGUUAUUUGUUAAAAUGGUGUUGAAUAAUAAAACCUCCUUCAAAAAGGCUCUACAAGAUAAGGUACUAAUUCAAAAGAAGGUGGUGGUGGUUGUUUUUAAUUCCAACAUGCUUCUGAGAGAUCCACUUAAACAUCUGCAAUAACAGUGGCAAAUCUUUUAGCAGACCAAUGAAAUUUUUCUUCUUAUUGUGUUUUGAGUAGUCAAAUUGCACCCAGUAUUGUAAAAUCAAAGUGCUUUGUUGCUAGGCAAUUCCAUGAAUCGUCCCAAAUCAGGUUUUAACCAGAUUGAUAAAAGUGUUACAUCCUUAUUUUGUUUUUUUACCAGAACACAAUUUUUGGUUGAGCAACAAACAUUUUUUAUAGCAAUAAAUAAAUCUUGCCCCAAUGAUAAUAUUUAAUGAUAUGCAUAAUUAUUGUUGUAACGCAUGGGAAUCAGAUAUAAGUGAUGGAAAGCCUGAGUGAUGACUGCAUUUGGCAUUGUGUUGACACUGCAGAUAAAAGCAGCUUUGCAAUCAGCAUGGAGGAAGAUGGAACAGGAAGAAGCUGCUCUGAACUGCCUCCAGAAACGCCUACAUUCACGUCCAAGGCACUGGCUGUUGAGUUUCCCUGACUUGAGAAACGACAUUGCUAUUGGCCGACAUCUCCCAAGGAGACUAAUACAACAGUCAAUAAAUGACACGAGAUAUGAGCAAGAAAAGACACUUGUUAUUGGAAGAAUGCAAGCCCCCUUUCAAUGAUCAGGCCCAGAAGUGCUGCAAUAGAACAGCAGUCACAUCCCACCCCCUCCUGACUUGAUCUCUUCAAGGUGCUGCCACGCUGACUCCGGACUGACUGAUGCCAAGUAACUACAAAUUACCUAACAAUGCCACACACUGGACACCGUAGCUCAUAACCUACAGUUCAACCAUGCAUAGCCAAUAGCUAAUCAAUGUUACUUCUGUAAAUCAAUACGAAUUGUAUCAGCCCACUCCUUGUCCACCUUUGCACGUGUAGCAAAGGCUGAAAGGUGCACUUCUCAAGACAGCUUAGAAGGAUUUCUCCCGCAGUUGUUCUCACCUUAGCUCAAGUAAACACCUUCAAAUUAUAUUUUGUGCCUCAAUUUCUUCCUUUAGGUGAACAGAAAUUCAGCACCUUAUUUUAAAAUAGGCUUUGUGUUAGAUGAUUUUGCCCAACCAUAGGCUAAUGUAUGUGUUCUGAGCACAUUUAAGGUAGGCUUGGCUACGCUGUGGUGUUCAAUAUAUGUGGUAUAUUUAAUGCAUCUUUGAUUUUAAUAUUUUCAACUUAGAAUGCAUUUGUCAAUUAAUGUAAUUCCAUGGUAAGUCAGGGAGCUUCUGUGUACUUCUUAUUAUAAAUCACAGUAUCACAGUCAUUAAAAAUGGAAUUAGAUUAAAUGGAAGCCAUACUGGAGUAAGUGGAUACUUAAUCCAAUGUAACGUCUCCCGAUAAGAAGAGGAAAUUUGGACACUGAGACCCACAGGGAGAACACUACAGGAGGUUGGAAGCAGAGACUGCAAUGAUGAGCCUGCAGGACAAGGUGCCCUAAGGAUCACCAGUGGGAAACAAGAAUCAAGUCCUGCACCUGGGCCGCAUAGCAAGAUUUCAUCUCAAUAAAGAAAAAAAAAAAUGUUGUAAGUAGCCAGGUGUGGUGGUGCAUGCCCGUAGUUCCGGCAACUGAGGAGGCUGAGGUGGGAGGAUCACUUCAGCCUGGGAGUUGGAGGCUACAGUGAGCCAUGAUCAGCCAUGGCACUCCAGCCUAUGUGACAGAGAGAGAUCCUGUCUCAAAACAAACCAAAAUGUUCUAACCCCUUACAAGCAACUAAACAGACCACUCUUAGCCAAGGGGACCCCAGAGAAACCUUAAAAACUGAGUUCCUGGCCGUGACAAGAUGGGAGGUCAGAUGUGCCUUUUUAUACCCUCUCCCCCACAAAUUGCCACUAGACCUUCUUUCCCUUUCAAAAGAUUUGCUCAACCACUGAUUUUAACCAAUUACUAGACGCCAUACCCAGACUACCUACUUUCUUGUGGUUUCAGCAUAGCAGGUGACCAGGACCACGACGCAUUACUCCCUGAUAUUUGACCACAGACCAGGGACUGGCUCUAGCCAGCCUACACAAACUGCACACGGAUGCCCUGUGUCCUCCAUUUCAGCUUCUGACGUACAGAGCCUGCUUCUAAUGCAUUUAAAUGUUGUCUCCACCCCUAAGUGAAUAUAGGAUGUAUGCAACAUACAUUUUUGCUUAUUAAGCAUUUAUGCUCCCUUUUUUGUGAACAUUCAUAGUUCCCCCUAUAACCUGUUGAAUAGGUAUACUUAGCCAACUCAUUCAGCAUCAAUUCCUGUCUUGUCCACCCUCCUUCAAAGAACCUGCUUUCAGUCUCUGCCAAGGGGCUAUGCCUCUCGGCCUGCAGGAUGGCCAGCCUGCGGGUUGCAACCCUUUAUUAAAAAACACCAAAUUUACGGAUCUCAUGAUUUUAAGUCAACAUCAGCAACAUCAGAAGACAGGAUAAGAAGCAAGGAAGGAGCCCUUCCUAGAGCUUUCAAGGUAGUAUGGCAGUCCUGAUAACCUUGACUUCAGAUGCCUAGCCUUCAAAACUGUAAGAGAACAAGUUUCUGUUGUUUUGGUGUACCCAAUUUGCUGUACUCUGUUAUGACAGCUCUCAGAAACGAAUACAGAUGUCUGUGUAAUUUGGAAGAUUACCUUCCCAGAAUUUCAACCUGUACCCACAUACUACAAGCUCUGUGAACCAAUGUCUUGAUGCUUUGUGAAACUGAAGCUUCUUGCUUAGAAUUCAGGCUUAGAAUUCUUUUCUUUCCUUUGUUCUCAAAGAACAGGUGAGAGGAAAAUGUUCCCCUUGCAGUUUAUUCUCCAGUGCUAAGAUCACUAGCAGUACCUGCCUGUGAGGUCUCUAGGUCUGAGCCACGGGAGCCAGGAUGUGGUAUUGGAGGCAGUAGUGAACCUGUUUGCUGCCCCAUCUCCCUUACAACAAGGGCCAGAAGGCGCAGCCACUCAACAGCAACGUAGGUACAUGAUGCUAUACACACACGUACCUAGGUGGCUGAAUACCUUUUCAGGCUCCCACACCAAGUCUGAGGGAAACUGCCUUGUGAAUUGGCAAAGUGGACAAAGACAAUAAAAAUCUUUAACAGGGGUAUCUAUUCACAGACACUAAUUCAGACUAAGACUGUGACUUGGAAACACGAAUCCAAAAGAUCUACACAAAUUGUUUUUUAUUAUUACAUACAGAUCAACACACUGAUCGCUCCACCAGCCAUCAGCACCUCUUGCCUUCCAAGAUUUUGUUAAUA